GAUGAACGCUAGCGGCAGGCUUAACACAUGCAAGUCGAGGGGCAGCACAUAAGGUAGCAAUACUUUGGUGGCGACCGGCGCACGGGUGAGUAACACGUAUGCAAUCUACCUGUAAGCGGGGAAUAACCCGGAGAAAUUCGGACUAAUACCGCAUAAUACCACGAAUUCGCAUGAAUUUGUGUGUUAAACAUUUAUGGCUUACAGAUGAGCAUGCGUAUGAUUAGAUAGUUGGUAGGGUAACGGCCUACCAAGUCUGCGAUCAUUAGGGGUUCUGAGAGGAAGGUCCCCCACACUGGUACUGAGACACGGACCAGACUCCUACGGGAGGCAGCAGUGAGGAAUACUUGGUCAAUGGGCGAGAGCCUGAACCAGCCAAGUCGCGUGAAGGAAGAGGGUUCUAUGG
rnacentral:rRNA from 1 species